UGUUGUCUUCUUUUCUUCAUCUUUUUCUAAGAAAAAAAAAAACCAAAAAAUUUUUAAGAGGCUCUGCAACUGAUUCGGAAAGCUUUUUUCCCUCUAAAAUGUUUUCUUCUUUAUCCUCUUCAAUCCCCAGAAAAAGGACGAUGUCAGACACUCUCCCAAAUGAAGUUGUCGCCGAAAUCCUCUCACGACUGCCCGUGAAGUCUGUCAUCAAAUUCAGGUGCGUUUCCAAGACAUGGUGCUCUCUCAUUUCUAGCCCCCAUUUCAUCGCCACCCACCUCAGCCGGGCUCUUUCCAACCACAAAUACCCAUCCAACCUUGUUUUCCACCAUUUCGACUACCCACUCAAGAAAGACCGAUCCGCUGCCAUACGCAUCCAUCGGCUUUCCCUUGAUCCAGAAAUGCAAGAGAGGAGUUUGGUCACUCAAGAAUCUGAUGUCAGAGGAGAUCCAGCAGAUUUCAUCGAAUUCCGUUGCUCGCGCGAUUGCAUGAUGGUAAUUGGUUCAUCUAACGGCCUAUUUUGUCUCACCAAAGGUUUUGAUUCAUACGUUCUCUGCAACCCUUGUAUUCAAAAAGCCAUAUCCAUUCCGCACCCUAAUAUUGGUCUUCGGGGAUUGGAAACCCAGACUCAUGGCUUUGGGUAUUGCCCUAAGACCGACGAUUACAAAGUGGUAAGGAUUGUACAUGCCGAAGGCACCACUCAUUCUCUAGUUGAGAUUUAUACGCUUCGAACCGGCGCAUGGCGCUCUUUUAUGGCCCUCGGUCCUCCCUACUACUUUAGAGAACCCUUCGGCUCACCCUCGUUACGUAAUAUUUUCUUUAAUGGGGCAGUCCACUGGACAGCUCGCACUCCAGAGCACCAGCGCCCGUUUCACCACCUGAUCGUGUCGUUCGAUAUAGAGGAUGAGGUGUUUCGUGAAAUGGCUAUGCCAAAGAGUUUACAAGACGAGGAAACCUUCGAGCUUUUUAUGGCGGUAGUUGAUGGGUUGCUUGCUCUUAUCCCCUACGGAGACGAUCAGGAUGUGCCCGUUUGGGUGAUGAAAGAGUAUGGAAGAGCGGAAUCUUGGACUAAGCAGUUCGAUAUUAAGUUUGAGUAUGGAUCAUAUGGUCCGAUAGGCUUUACAAAGAACGGUGAAGUUCUAGUGGAACAUGAGGGAGAUUUGUGUUCUUACGAACGUAAUAGCGAACAAUCCUGGUAUCUUCACGUUUAUGAUAUAAGUGACUGGCUUUAUUUCGAUACUUAUGUGGAGUCCCUUGCUCUACUGAAUGUAGCAGAUGGAGUUUUGGGAGUGCAAGCGACUUCGUAUUGUGUUAGCAAGAUCAAGGCGAAAGAAAAGAAGUGAAAAAGGAAGAUACGGAUGUUGGGACAGUGAUUCAGUUGCGAGCAAGCAGGAAAAGGAGGUUUUACUGAUCCAGUCCUAAGUCAAAUCAUGCCUGGUGGUUGUAUACGUAGUUCAAAUGACUGGAAAAAGAGUAUCAUCAUGUACUGCUCGUACUACAAUUAUGAAUUAUUGGAUAGUUUGAUAGUUGGAAGGGCUUUUAAUGGGUAGUAAUUAAACUGCUAUGCAUAAUUUUUGAUCCUACGUCUGUAAUCGUUUUUUGUUUAAGCCCUAUAUUAUUGUUCUAACCCUACAUUUGCUGAUAUAUUAUUGAAAGAUCAUAGCUGAAUUGGCUUAGGCGGCGGUUGCUAGCUUUAAUCCAAUUUAUGCUAUUUUUCUACUCGAGAGGUCUUAAAAUACUCGAGUAAGAACAAGCUUUUCAUCUCCCUAGUUUGGCCGAGAAUGGAGGGCAGGAUUUUGAGUUUUAUUUUGUUUUUAGAGGUUCAUAAACUGAAAGGAUAUUCUUAUUGGCAAUGAAAGUUGCAAAUUUGUUUGGUGA